GUUUUUUUUCCUGUUGUAGAUUUGUUAAUGCUGCAGAAAGGGCUCCUUUGACUUAAGAGAAGAUAAGUGGAAAUGAAAAAGAUUCAGGUAAUCACUCAGCACUUUACCGUAAUUCAGUAGAAUCUACAAUGACUGCUACAUUGCCCUACAUAUGUCAUAAAGAAUUUGUUCUGAAUGAAAAGCUUCUUGAUUCUAGCAGAGAGUCAAUUCGCCUGUGAACUUCACGAUCUGGGCCACUUGGAUUUAGGGAUGACAUUUUAUUCUGAGGGUUGAUGAACUGCCACUUAAAGAAUUACAUAUAAUGAAAUUCGUCUUUAUUCAGUAAACAUUUGUAAUGGGUAGUAAAUAAAGAACAUUAGACUUUUCAUCAAACAAUUGAGGUUUAAUUCUUUAAAAUGUAUCCUUACUCAUUUUACUACAUUUUAAAUUACAUUUUACCUUUGGAAAAUGGAUUAGUUAUCAAUGGGCUCUUAAAAUCGUUGAUAAAAAAGGUUUUACUGUGUUUUUUUUACCAUGGACAAGUCUGAUAAAAUAUUUGAGCUGCUAUAUAUAAGAAUAAUAUGUCAUUGAGACAUAUCCUAACAAUAUUUUGAAAUUAUCUCUCUCUAAUGGGUGUCGUGAGAGUUAUCUAUGAGUGAGCCACUAUUUUUAUUUUUAUAUUUAAAAAGAAAAUAAAACUUGUCCAUUUUCAUGAAUCAUCAUUGGUUGAUUUCACUUUUUGGGUAAAAGAUGAUAAUUUGAUUUUAGGGUUUAAUGUCUUUCUCCCCUCUUUGCCCAGAAGAGUCUGGCUUACCCGCUCAUAGAGCAGGGCACAUCUUCACACUGUUUUACACAUGCACUGGAAUUUUCGUAGCCCUGUAUGAAUAAGGAUAUCUUUGCUAGUGGCUUCCUUCACUACGAAUAGAUAACAGAACUGGUUCUUACUUAGUCUUGAAAACUGCAGCAUUGUAUUGCAGUCAGGAUGCAGCUCUCCCUCUUCUGUUUGCCUUCUCCAGAAAUGUCCCUUGGAGCUCUUGAAAAAGCUGUUUAGUAGCUCAAAUUAGCAUUGAAUUUAUUUUAGAGUGAAUUGGUUCAGGAGUGCAACCUCAGAUAACUGUUAGGGCCUUCAUCAGACAUGUGUGAGACCGAUUAAAAUAAAAUUCUGAAGUUUGUGUUUUGUUUUGUUUUUUUUGUCCAUGGUGAGGAAAUGAUCUAAUUGUACUCACUUGAAUCAAACAAUAUACAUGGUAGUAUUGGCUGGAAUUAAUGUGCAGGUCUCAACAUUGUUUCUCCAGAAAUACUUCUGAAUUUCAGACGUUCUACAAUUUUGAUCAUUUCUGUAAAAGAAAUGGUUAUUUUAUUCAGAUACCAGUCUCCUUUCCAAAUGCAAAUGAAUUAUAGGUUUUAAAAUGUAAUUUUUUUGUCCUUACGUCUGACAAGCAUAGGCCGAGAAGUGCAAGAUAACUUUUACCCUUAAUGAUUUUGAAGUUAAGUGAUUGCUCAUUUGCAAAAAAGUAAUAUUUUUUAAAAGCCCAUUUACUAUGAGUUGAGAAAUUGUUAUAUUUGGAACAGGUUAUAUUGGAAAUUUGACUUUUUAAAACUCAAAUUGCCCAGCAAAUCAUCCCCUCAGUUUGAAUGCACAGGUGUGUUAAUCUCUGCAAGUAGUUCCCAGCAGGGGCUGGGUGAGGAAUAUCUAUCUUAUACCCUGCUCAACAGCACCAUUGCUUGGAACUUGAACCACUUUAAAGUUAGAUACUAAGGAAACUUAGUAUCUCAGGUCUUAGUAGCAUAGAUACUAAGAAACUUGAAUUGCUGGUCAUCUUUUUCCUUUUCUUUUUCCUCUUUGUGUAUCACUAAACGACUAGUUUCUCUUCCGUUUGUUGGUUCCCAUUGUGUAUUUUUUAAAAGAAGUACUGUAUCCAGAUGCCAGCCAAUAAAUUGUCACACAAUGGAAAAAACGAUAUGCCACAGCAUUGUAAGGUUUAAUAAAAUUAAAUUUGCACCAAACUUAAGUGUGCUCUCAUUAACUCUUAAUUUUUGGUGAGUGUUACCAUGAAAUAUAUUCCAAUGGAUUCCUGGAUUCCUUUUGAUAACUUCAGCGAGUUAGAACUUACCCGUGCCAUUAUUACAUCGGUAAUAAUGUGGCAUCAGUAAGAUGACUUGUGUACAGUUUACUGUAAUUUUUUUUCCUGGUAAAUACAUAGGAACUAAAGUCUGGGAAAACUCAAUGAAGAGUACAGAGGAUGGCUUUUAAUGUGUUCUUGUCCUUAAUAGUUGGUAUUAUUAAAAACAUGUGCAGUGAUAUGUGUAUAAUGAAGGUAAGUUUUCUAUACUUAUAUUUCAAUUAAUAUAAUUUAAGUUUCAUUCCCUGUGUCUUAAGUUAUCUAAUAUAAGAUUUCAAUUGGCCUAGAAAGUUGUUCAUAGUUCUAAACUCAUGUGGUAUAAAUUUGGAAGAAUCCAGUGUUCUAGACUUUCACUUUUGGAUCAAAUUCUGUUUUAAGGGCUUGAACAACAAAAUGUAUAUGUCAGGAUGCUGUACCUCACAAUGCCAUCUUUCAUGGUUUUAUCUGUGCUGAUGGAUAGAAUAGUAUUGUUGAAGUUUGGGCUUUGGGAAUUAAGAGGAAUAAUUAAUAAUUGGUUCCUUGUCACAGGAUUUUCCCUGUCCAAUUACAUUAGUGCAGAAGAGGCCUGUGAUUGGACGGGGAAAGGGAAGACAGAGCUAAGAGUGGCUGAGACAGCAUCUUGGAGGAGAGAGGGAGGAAGAUAGCAGCUGAUGUAAAUCAGCAUGGCUAUGAUGGCUGCAGGUUGUUAUGAUAUCAUAAAGGUUAGAAUAUUGGGAUAAUUUGUCAAAUCUACAGUUCUUAAGUGCCAUGUUACUUUAUGUUUAGCAUAAAUGGUCCAUUAAAUAAGAUUUCCUCAUUAAAUUACAGCUGCAUAUUAUUGGUACGUGAGUUUAGUUGUUUUCCCAGCGAGUCCCUUUAAAGAAGGAUUUAAUGACAAGUGGCUCUGUAGUGCAGUCGAGAUGUUUUAUUAUUUCUGUGGGUGGGAACUGAGAGGUACACAGGAUUUGACAUAAUGCUAAAACUGGAAAUGGAAAGGUCAUCCAGUCUGUUAUGUUUAUGAAUCAUAACAUUUUUCUGUAAUUAGUCUUGGUGAGAGUUCUAAUAGAAGAUAAUCAAGUUAGUUUAUUGUGUAUCUGUUUUCUUUUUCAAGCUCUAGGAUUAUAGAAAUGAGCCUGGUUAAAAAGUCCUCCUUCACCC
rnacentral:lncRNA from 1 species